rnacentral:piRNA from 1 species
UCUGUCCCAGGUGUGACACUGCCGUCGGUGU